rnacentral:rRNA from 1 species
AUACGAAGGGGGCUAGCGUUGUUCGGAAUUACUGGGCGUAAAGCGCACGUAGGCGGAUUGUUAAGUUAGGGGUGAAAUCCCGGGGCUCAACCCCGGAACUGCCUCUAAUACUGGCAAUCUCGAGUCCGAGAGAGGUGAGUGGAAUUCCGAGUGUAGAGGUGAAAUUCGUAGAUAUUUGGAGGAACACCAGUGGCGAAGGCGGCUCACUGGCUCGGUACUGACGCUGAGGUGCGAAAGCGUGGGGAGC